UACGGAGGAUCCGAGCGUUAUCCGGAUUUAUUGGGUUUAAAGGGAGCGUAGAUGGAUGUUUAAGUCAGUUGUGAAAGUUUGCGGCUCAACCGUAAAAUUGCAGUUGAUACUGGGGGGCUUGAGUAUGUUUGAGGCAGGCGGAAUUCGUGGUGUAGCGGUGAAAUGCUUAGAUAUCACGAAGAACUCCGAUUGCGAAGGCAGCCUGCUAAGCUGCAACUGACAUUGAGGCUCGAAAGUGUGGGUAUCAAACAGG
rnacentral:rRNA from 1 species